CGAAUGUCUGAGCAUAUGAAACAUUCACGUGGACAGAGGCGGUUUGAACAGUUUCUCCGGAUGUUUCAACAUAUAAUUUUAGCCGUGAAAACUCGCCAGCCUUGUUGCCGAUGACAAGCCCGUCGACCAAUCUCUGAUUGUUGUCACCGCAGAGCGCUUCCUUGAUGUCCUCCAUGGUGGGCCGGGGCUUGUUCCUCAGCAGGGUGUACAUCGACAUCACCAUCCCUGGAGUGCAGAAACCACACUGGGUGCCGUGAGCUUUCGCUAUUCGCUCCUGCAAGUCAGAAGAAAUUUAAAAAAACGUAACAGCCUUUUUCGCUGCAGAUGGGUAACUGGUCACUGUAAACACCGCAAUAGGUGUGCUGGGGAGACGUGUUACCUGAACAGGGUGGAGUUUGGUCCUAGUGCUGCCGACGCCUUCGACCGUCACCACCGCUGCACCGUGCAGGGUGACGAUCGGCUGCAGACAGGCGUUGACCGUGUAGUGCCUGCAUGGGUCAAAGGUCAAGAUACAUAAACUCUUAUUUUUGAGAAAGGCCUUGUUUAAAAAAAUCCAUCUUGUCGUGGAAAGUACAAAAAAAGGAUACAUGACUCUUUCUUGGUGGCCGCUGUAGCUGGACACCAUGACGGUGCAGGCUCCACAGCCUCCAGUGCCACAGCCGUACUUGGUACCAGUCAAACCAGCUGGUGGACAAGAAUGUGAAUGAUAGUUCAAUAAACCCCACCAUACGUACAUUUCAUAAAUGAUUUAUACUACAUAUUAAAUCAAACCAAAUAAACAUUUAUUCAAUUAUGUUUAAACCAUUUUUUAAUUUACUUUAGUUAUAUUAUUUUUUUUAUAUCUCACAUGUAAUUACUUUUAAUUGUACAACGUCAAUUUCUUUUUAAAAUCCAACUAAAUAAUGGCCUUCAAUUGCUCCAAAUAUUCUUCUUAACCUGGUUUAACACAGGUGUUUUUGACUUUACCAACCCCUUCACACGGUAAGCACUAUGGAUAAUAGAGGGAUGAAUGAAGAAUAAAUUAGAAUAAAAAUCAACCUUUUCUCCUCAGAUAGCUGAGCAGCACCUCUUCUGGAUCUGCAUUCUUCUCAAUCAUCUGGAGGAAAGGGAAGGGGGAACAUAGAAGGGAACAAACAAAAGCAAUGAGGGAGGGAAGAGGGUAUAUCAAAUAAGUGAUGAAAACAAGCAGAAGCGGAAUAAUCACAAGUAAAGAAAAGGCUCAUAAACAGAGGAAAACAAAUCACAGAACAACCGCAGCUUUGAAGGAGAGUUGUGCGGGGCAUCAGCCUUCCGUCAGGUGACUUCAGGCAUAUAAGUUUGUAUAUAAUCAGAGGGGCUUUUGGCUAAUUGACACAGUUCAUGUGAAAAUUGAUCACAGUGUGUGACGUGGUGGAACACAGGCUCAUGAGAGUCAGCUGAUUUUUCAAGCACGCUUUUUUUCCCUUUAGAAAUCCAGCAGCUGGCAUAGCUUGGAGGUCAGAGUUCAAUUCCAAGUCAUCCCAAUGUGGGCCCUUGAUGCCAUCUGGCCCCCAACCCUUAAAAAUUAAGCAAGUGACUGCGAGCAGUGUUGCCAGAUACGGCUGAUGGUUUCCAGCCCAAAAAAACCCCAAAAUAUUUGAUCAAUAUCUUGUUCAGUACUAAUAUUUCAACUGCCACGAUACUUUACUGUAUCAUAUUUGAAAGCAAUGCACACAUAAAACAUUCAAGCGAUAAAAAACAGCCAACCGCCACAGUCAGAGUUUUUAGUUGCAUUGCCGCCACCUUCUGGACUGGAGUCUUGCCCCCCAUAUAGAUAAAUAAUGGUGAAAUGUGAACAUCAUCGACACUUGUUUAUAAGGCGACUGAUGUCUUUGUGCAUCUUGCCCUAAUUUCAAUGACAUGAUGACUGUAGGGCAGAGAGCUGAACAAAACAACAACAGCACUCACAAACAACUACCGCUUGUCAUGUGAAAGCAGCAGCCUAAGUAUGACAAUAAACUAUCUAUGCUCCUCUUCACACUCUUCACCUUAAUAACACAGUUGAACAUAUCAACAUUUAGAGAACUUUGUAUAGUCUGGCUGAGCUAUGGAAUCUUGUGAUAUUACCAUAAUGUCCCGAUUGAAAACUACAGCACAGGGAUUCUGUAUUUCACUAAUAUGAUUUUGUAAGAUCUUUCAAUCCAGUAACAACCUGAUAUCUAAACCUUUUCUGUAAUAUGGUAACUGUACAGCAUUGAUCUAAAAUUAUUUCUUUGAGAUGAGUGAGUUUGCAAAAACAAAGUGCACAUUGCCGAUUUGUUCACACAUUAACCCCAAAAAAUAAAAAAAUGCACAAUUGAGAAUGUUAGAAAGAGUUGAAACACAAUGAUUACUCCAUAGCUGGGGAAACUAAAUUUACUGUAACACCACAUAGGCACAUUGAAAAAGUCAAAAAUGUUAAAAGUACAAGUGCAUUCAUCAGUAAUAGUAAAAUGAGCAUUCAUGUAAUAGUGCUCUCGUUGUUUUGAACCUUUUCACAGUUUACACAAUUUCCAUCAUUUACCCUAUUUUUAAAAAAAACAAAAGGCAAUUAAUCAAUUACAGUAAUAGCUAAUUAAUGGAAGUAAAUCUAAAUAGAUUGCUGUUGAAUGCUCUCACCUUUUUUCCAUUGACAAAGAAGAUCAGCUCACGAGACACAGCAUUGAGAUCAGACAUGCUGAUGAGUUUGAAUGUUGAGCUCUGGGUCCCCAGGCUUCACAUUUAUAGACGUGGCGUAGGCACAAAUUGGGGCUGGAAACGUACGUACGCCACUUCCCACGCAUAUGAGACCCCAGCCCUUGAAGUACUGAAUCCUAUGACUUUAUGUCACAUGUUGUCCCUUAGACACGCAAUUGAAAUGGUUACAUAAUUAUUAUCGUUAUGUUACUGGAACAAAGGUCACAUUUUCAAUUAUUCUGUGUUUUUUCAACCUCCCAAUUAAAUGGUAAAUGGAUAAUAUGGACUCUAUUUAUACAGUGCUGUUCUAGUCUUAUUGACCACUCAAAGGGAUUUACAGUGCAAGUCAUAUUCGCCCAUUCACACACCUUCAUACAGUGCCGCUGUUUGCCGUGCUUUCUCUGUCACAUUCACACAUUAUCUCCAUUAAUAUUAAGUGUCUUGCCCAAGGACACCACGGCAUGCCGACUAUGGGACGCUGGGAUCGAACCAGCCUAACAUUCUGGUUAGUGGAUGAGACGACCGACUCCACCUCCUGUGCCUCAUGCCGCCUGAUAUGACACAUUAUACAAGAUGGAAAAGCAACAAAUCCUGCUGAAUCUCUGGAGAGUGUGAAUUGUCAAUAAAUAAUUGUUGCCAAUUGA